rnacentral:rRNA from 1 species
AUCGGAUUUACUGGGCGUAAAGCGUGCGUAGGCGGCUUUUUAAGUCGGAUGUGAAAUCCCUGAGCUUAACUUAGGAAUUGCAUUCGAUACUGGGAAGCUAGAGUAUGGGAGAGGAUGGUAGAAUUCCAGGUGUAGCGGUGAAAUGCGUAGAGAUCUGGAGGAAUACCGAUGGCGAAGGCAGCCAUCUGGCCUAAUACUGACGCUGAGGUACGAAAGCAUGGGGAGCAAACAGGAUUAGAUACCCUGGUAGUCCAUGCCGUAAACGAUGUCUACUAGCCGUUGGGGCCUUUGAGGCUUUAGUGGCGCAGCUAACGCGAUAAGUAGACCGCCUGGGGAGUACGGUCGCAAGACUAAAACUCAAAUGAAUUGACGGGGGCCCGCACAAGCGGUGGAGCAUGUGGUUUAAUUCGAUGCAACGCGAAGAACCUUACCUGGUCUUGACAUAGUAAGAACUUUCCAGAGAUGGAUUGGUGCCUUCGGGAACUUACAUACAGGUGCUGCAUGGCUGUCGUCAGCUCGUGUCGUGAGAUGUUGGGUUAAGUCCCGCAACGAGCGCAACCCUUUUCCUUAUUUGCCAGCGGGUUAAGCCGGGAACUUUAAGGAUACUGCCAGUGACAAACUGGAGGAAGGCGGGGACGACGUCAAGUCAUCAUGGCCCUUACGACCAGGGCUACACACGUGCUACAAUGGUCGGUACAAAGGGUUGCUACCUAGCGAUAGGAUGCUAAUCUCAAAAAGCCGAUCGUAGUCCGGAUUGGAGUCUGCAACUCGACUCCAUGA